UACGAAGGGGGCUAGCGUUGCUCGGAAUCACUGGGCGUAAAGCGCACGUAGGCGGAUUCCUAAGUCGGGGGUGAAAUCCUGGAGCUCAACUCCAGAACUGCCUUCGAUUCUGGGAAUCUUGAGUCCGGAAGAGGUGAGUGGAACUGCGAGUGUAGAGGUGAAAUUCGUAGAUAUUCGCAAGAACACCAGUGGCGAAGGCGGCUCGCUGGUCCGGUACUGACGCUGAGGUGCGAAAGCGUGGGGAGCAAACAGG
rnacentral:rRNA from 1 species